rnacentral:rRNA from 1 species
GGAUAUCUAGGCUCCUAUAACGAUGAAGAACGCAGCGAAAUGCGAUACGUAAUGCGAAUUGCACAACCGCGAGUCAUCAAAUCUUUUGAACGCAAAUGGCGAUAGCGCGAGCUAUCAUGUUUGUUUCAGUGUAUUAGGUUAAUUACAUCACAUAUCUAAAAUGCGAUUGAAGUGAUUCUCUCGCUAAAUAUGUAGCUGUCUGACAUCAGCUCUUUAACCGAAGUAGUCACUAAACAGUGAUGUCGUGUUAAUUGAACUGUUUGUCAUAAAGGACGAGCUAACCAAAUACAUAUCCUUUAUAUAGUACCUGAAAUGAGCAAGAACACCCGCUGAACUUAAGCAUAUCAGUAAGCGGAGGAAAAGAAACUAACUAGGAUUACCUCAGUAGCGGCGAGUGAAGAGGUAACAGCCCAAGAUGUAAUCGGCCGUAAGGUUGAAAUUGUAAUCUAUAGGGACUCCUGGAAGAAACCUAUAGAGUC